rnacentral:rRNA from 1 species
GAUGAACGCUGGCGGCGUGCCUAAUACAUGCAAGUCGAGCGAACAGACGAGGAGCUUGCUCCUCUGACGUUAGCGGCGGACGGGUGAGUAACACGUGGAUAACCUACCUAUAAGACUGGGAUAACUUCGGGAAACCGGAGCUAAUACCGGAUAAUAUAUUGAACCGCAUGGUUCAAUAGUGAAAGACGGUUUUGCUGUCACUUAUAGAUGGAUCCGCGCCGCAUUAGCUAGUUGGUAAGGUAACGGCUUACCAAGGCGACGAUGCGUAGCCGACCUGAGAGGGUGAUCGGCCACACUGGAACUGAGACACGGUCCAGACUCCUACGGGAGGCAGCAGUAGGGAAUCUUCCGCAAUGGGCGAAAGCCUGACGGAGCAACGCCGCGUGAGUGAUGAAGGUCUUCGGAUCGUAAAACUCUGUUAUUAGGGAAGAACAAAUGUGUAAGUAACGAUGCACGUCUUGACGGUACCAAUCAGAAAGCCACGGCUAACUACGUG